rnacentral:rRNA from 1 species
UACGAAGGGGGCUAGCGUUGCUCGGAUUGACUGGGCGUAAAGGGCGCGUAGGCGGUUCGUACAGUCAGACGUGAAAUUCCUGGGCUCAACCUGGGGGCUGCGUUUGAUACGUGCGGACUUGAGUGCGGAAGAGGGUCGUGGAAUUCCCAGUGUAGAGGUGAAAUUCGUAGAUAUUGGGAAGAACACCGGUGGCGAAGGCGGCUUCCUGGACCGACACUGACGCUGAGGCGCGAAAGCCAGGGGAGCAAACGGG